AUUGAACGCUGGUGGCAGGCCUAACACAUGCAAGUCGAACGAGUGGCGGACGUGUGAGCUAUGUCUGGGCAACUGCCUGAUGGAUGGGGAUCACUACUGGACACUGUUGCUAAUACCGCAUACCAUCAGCUGUGCCCAGAUGGCAUUAGCUAGUUGGUGGGGUAACGGCCUACCAAGGCGACGAUCCCUAGCUGGUCUGAGAGGAUGACCAGUCACACUGGAACUGAGACACGGUCCAGACUCCUACGGGAGGCAGCAGUGGGGAAUAUUGCACAAUGGGCGAAAGCCUGAUGCAGCCAUGCCGCGUGUAUGAAGAAGGCCUUCGGGUUGUAAAGUACUUUCAGCGGGGAGGCGUUACCAACAGAAGAAGCACCGGCUAACUCCGUGCCAGCAGCCGCGGUAAUAC
rnacentral:rRNA from 1 species